rnacentral:tRNA from 1 species
GGGCCGGUCGUCUAGUGGGAGGAUGCCGCCUUUGCAAGGACCAUGAAAGUUGGGGUUCCGAGAACGGCGGUGGUCCCGGGUUCGAAUCCCGGCCGGUCCA